rfam:Triticum aestivum genome assembly, contig: Triticum_aestivum_CS42_TGACv1_scaffold_224370_3B
CUAUUACUCCCUCCGUUCUAAAUUACUUGACUUUCAUUUAUCUAGAUACGAAUGUAUCUAUACUUGUUUAGUGUCUAAAUACAUUCGUGUAUAGAAAAAUGGAGGUCAAUUAAUUUGGAACGGAGGGAGUAUAUC